rnacentral:lncRNA from 1 species
GUAAUGGUGUAAGUCCUACACUACAAUCGAAAAAGCCUUUUCUUCAGUUCAGAUCACUUGUCUCUGCUGUCACCCUGUCAAUGCGAACCAGUAAGUAGCUUUGCCCUUUCUUAGGAGCCCCAUCUCUCUCACCUAUAACUGACUUUAAAAUGCAUCGUUAUCUCAUUUCCUUGUCACAUCCCGAAUUGUUUUUAGAGUCUGUUGGGCUCUCCACAGGCAAUGAAAACACUGUGAGCACAGGCCUUGAUGUCUGGACCCUUCAACAGACCUUGGAACCCACUUCACCUUCCAGGCUGGAUGUUCUUGUUGCACAAAGAUUUCCUGAAGGUUGGACUGUAAUUUGUGAAGAUACUGGAUGA